UUAUCUCAAAAACGUCAGGUACUAUAUAUC
rnacentral:piRNA from 1 species